AUGAUAAAGGAGGAGCGUGAGGAGUUUUCCCGUAAGAUGGCGAAGAUGCGUCUUGAGAUUGAAGAAAAGUAUAAGCGGGACUGUGAGGACAUGGAAAAAAGUUUUUCCUUGGCUACAAGGAAAUGCAUCAAACGUUGCAGAAGGACCGGAAGCUUGUGGACAGUAUUAUACAGACAGAGCGAGUCAGGAUGGAUGCCUAUGUGUUGCAGGCACGUUCGGAUAUGGACAGUAAGCUGCUACAGGAGCGGUCGGACAUGGAUUAUAAGGCCAUGCUGGAGAAGGUCCGUUUGGAAGGACAUAUGUUAG
rnacentral:rRNA from 1 species